CAGGGACACUAAGCUGGAAUAGCUGACAGCACCAUAGAAGCAUAUAGCUGUAAUUUGUUUCUUGAUAGUGCCUAACCCCAACAUUUCACCAGGACUUGUCUUGAGCAUUCUACAUACUGUGGCAACAAACUAGAGGAGCAGCCUUGUGGCUUCUUAAGUGUAGAAGGGGACAAUGCAGACAGGCACCAGGUUCUAGAACUUAUGCUGCCAGAAGAGUGUUCCUAAUGGGAAAUCUAACUGGGCCUCCCACUGACAGAGAAGACCACCCCAUCUGCAGCGAGGGACAAGGGACACUCCCAGCCCAGAUGUAAAGAAAUGCAGCAGAUUGUGGCUUGAUGUAUAUUCAUUGCUUAUUUAAUAUUUGAGCAUCUUUUUCUAAAGAUAUUUCUAUUGAACUCACUUGUGGUGUCACCAUCUGGAAAGUAUCAGGCCUCGCCCACUGAGGUAAACCCCUAUUGCGUAUUUUUCCCUUUUAUGUGAGCCCAGUGGGCAUGGAGUGUGUAUCUCCAUGUUUAGCACAGAUCCUUGCCAAAGCAGCUCUCAAACAUAUGACACUCUCUAAAUAAAUCGUGUUGUAUAGGCCAUUAGCCACCCCUCCUAACUGAAGCUAACAGAAA
rnacentral:lncRNA from 1 species